AUGAUAGUUUAACUUGGUGGAAUUUGUAGUUAUGGUCGUUUUAAUUUAUAUAAGGUGUCUAUAUAAGAUUAUAUUAAAUAUUAUUUUAUAAUUUUUAUUUAUGAUUAUAAUUGUGAAUACUAUGUGCACUAACAAGAUUUAUUUUCGGUGAGAAACUGACGGGAAUGUGAAUAAAACCCUUUAAUUGCACUAGCUAUAUUAUUAUUAUUAUUAUUAUUAUUAUUAUUAUUAUUGAUGAUGAUGCUCAAUUCAUCAAUACAUGUUUUUACUGGCAUUGCAGUGUUUCCCAGUUGAUUGAACUGAUUGAACUGAUUGAAUUAAUUGAUUGAAUUACCAAUAAAUUAAUAAAUCCAAGCAUGCCUAAAAAAUAAAUCCACAAAUAUAAAAGAGCAAAUUGUCAGAAUAAAGCUUCAAUAAAAAAGACUAUUGAUAUUACUACAACAAUAUAAAAACAACAACUUACUACUACUACUACUACUACUACUACUACUAGGCUACUUCUUCUUCUACAGUAAUAACAAUAUUAAUAAUGACAAUAACAACAACAAUGAUAAUUUCACAAUAUUUGUGAACAUGUAAAAAACAAUUUCCAGCCGGCUGUGUUGUGUUUGUAACUGAGGCCUAAAUCAAAAACCCUUCGGUUGAAAGAUAUAUCUUAGUUAGGAUAUUAAUAGAUGCAAAUAAGAAAACAUUUUUAAUGUUAUAACUUCUAUUAAACAACUUAACUUGUUUCGGUUGAUGUGCGUCUAUGAAGCCGUGUGAAAACAGAGAGGGACAAACAUGAAACAGGGAGCGGCUGUCUGAAUGCAGGAGCAGUAAUCCUGCAGUCGCUGUGUGCUGACUGUUUCAUUCCUCCCUGCAGAGCCGCAGGCUGGAGACGCAGCUCUGCGCUGAGACUGUAAAAAGGUGUGAAAUUAUUUUGCUGGACUCUUAAAAAUGUUACUACAGUUUGUUCUCCAGUGCAGGUUCAUUAGGGAGAAGGGUUAAAAGUAGUAGGGUGAUGUUGUGGAACAGUGUCGCCACCCUCUGGUGACUUACAGGGACUGCAGGGCGGGGAGGCAGCAGUGCGCAGGCGUGUUUCCUUUCUGUUGCAAUCCGGGAUAAAAUGCAGGAUUAAAGUCAGAGAAAUGACGCUCCAAAGGUAACGGUAUGUUUUUGUUUCGGUUUGGAUUUUAAGUAAUCCGCGGAUGUCUUUAAACAGACUUGUCCAGACUUAUUUUGUAAAAAAGCAUCAUCUAUAGGCCUACCACUGUGUUUGGAGCUAGCUGCUGCCUUUAUUGCUCCUUCUCCUUUAGGACGGGCCCAGCAAAGGAGCAGAGGGCGGAAGGUUCCCAGGUAGAAACAAAGGAUCGCUCCAAAUGACCACACCACAAAACAGGCCAAGCGUGAUAGGAAGUCGCCACCUACACGGACUCAAAGUCAGCAGCUGAAGACUUUCAACGAGAUGUAAACAUGUCUGUGCACAACUAAGGUGACAGAAAUGUGGGGCCGACAGCGAUGGCGACGACAGAGGGGCCAGGCGGACCACACAGGGGCCAUGCAGGCAAACUGACCAACUCCACGGUCAACGGGAGCACCUCUGACUCACCAGUGGGGACUCACAAUGCUGGAUUAGCCUGUAGAGGGUAUCCUGGGAAACAGGGCGUCAGCAGCAGACGGGCCUGUAUGGACAAAAGGACAUAAAGUGGACUUCUGUGGGGGAAUAAAUGAAAUUAUACAAAGGACAAAAGAUAGAAGGAACAGAAAGACUGAACGAAAUGUACGUGUAGUCAUAGGGUUUGAACUUAUUUUGGAAAAAAAGAACCCACAGUGUGCAGAGAAGGCGACUGCGUCAGAACACCCUCGACUUAAUUUUGCUAUUGAUAUCUGAACAGAUAUCACAUUCAGAGCAUUACAAACUCAAUUUCCUAUUAAAUACCAGGCGUCAAAUUGCGUGCGCAUGCUAAAAAAUAAAAUAACUGUAAUGAAGAAACUGAUUCUGAGAAGGAUUCAGCUCGCUGAGAAACAGACCUUGUGUUUUUUUUAAAGGGUGUUUUUCUCCCUAGGAUGCUUUGAUUAAAAAGAAAAAAGUCUGGAUGUUUGAUUUUACGCAUCUCUGCUGCAUUUGACUUUAGAUGUGAUCUCCCACAGCAAUAUCAAAUUAAAUGUGUAACAGUCGCAGAUGCUGACGUGCCAUUUGCACAAUAUUGAAAUCAAUCCGCGACGCUUGUAGUUUAUUUUUGAUGCUGAAUUUUGAAAUUUUAAACGACACAGCGUAUCAAAUGUGGAGAAGCAGGUCGUUUUUUUGUAAAUGUGAAAUUCUCGGUGACACAUAGAAUAUAGUAUGCGCCAAAUAAAGCAUUUAGAUCACAUAUACUUCAGUCAAGUUUAUUCGAUUAAACGCACAACGCAAACACCGCCGCUCAGUUACGCGCCCCGCUCUUUUAUUUCUACCUUAUGAAAACAACAGUAUUAUUUCACUUUUGUGUUGCAUCUUUUUUGAUAUACCAGAUCAAAUUAGGAUGAACGGAUCUCACUUCUCGGUACCGCAGUGUCAUUCACGGGAAUGAACUGAUCCAAGUUCUUACAAAGGCGGCCAUCAAAUCAUCUUACAAUAACUCUUUAUAUGUAGUGUAGUUAAAACAGUAAUCUGUUUUACUUGGGGAAUUGUGGAUUAAAGCUGUAACUGUCAUAUCAGACUAUUGUCCGGACAGGAUAUGAACAUGAAGCACCUGCAGCUGUUCUUAAAACAUUUCCAGAGACGCACAGAUUUCCAAAAUCUGCCAUGACGCUAUUUUUGUAAACAUUUCUCGAUAUGAAAUAAUCAAUAAAACAUGCUUUCUUCUGCAAAUAUAUCAUGUGCAAGUUCAUGUUUAUUCCUAUAUUAUAAUCAACGUGCAACAUGUAUUUUGUCUUGAGGGAAUUUAUUUAGUUUGUGCUUAAGCAAACAAAAGCCACGCGAAUCAAACCGACCCCGUGUUACCACUGUAAUCCGUACAGCACAUAUACGCUACAUAUCACUCCUUUAAAAAACAAACCUAGUCUAUACACCCUUCACAAAUGAACACAGUAAAUUAUUUGGCAUUUAUAUUUCAAGCCACAUGAGAUCAGGGCAGGAAAACACCGUCUGCGGUGGGAAAAAGGCGCCGACUGAGGCUUUCACAUAAUCUCGGUCAAGUGCCUCUAUUUGACCGCUGUCACGCUCCUGGAUAAACGUAUGUCUGCUCAGGUCUUUGUGGUGUAUUACGAGAUUAUCCUCCAACCUCGCGCUUUCAAGCUUGACCAGAGCUAUAUUGUUGAGCGGCUGAAGGUUGCAGGCCCAGCCACUAUUACGCACAGAGACAGCGAAGGUCAAUGUAAAGAGCAAUGGCUGGCGUUGGCCCUGUCUGUGUUCAACCGCGUCUGACAGGCAGGCGAGAGACACACCGGGCUGCUUGUGGGAUAUGUGGUCAAUUUGACCUAACCACUGAUCUGACAACCUCACAAUUUAUCUACCUGGAUUAUUUACAGAUUCUGAUCAUGUAAAACAGCAAAAAAAAAAUUAAAAUUAAUUUGAAGAAACAAAUAAAUGAUCUGAUCAUUUCUUUAACAGGGUCCAUUUUCACUGUUAGUCUAACAUUGAAUUUAAGAAUAAAAUGAUGCAGGUUUUGAAAUAUAUUUAGUUUGAAAGCGCGCCUUA